rnacentral:rRNA from 1 species
CACGGGGGGAGCGAACGUUGUUCGGAAUCACUGGGCGUAAAGGGCGUGUAGGCGGUUCGGUAAGUGGAAUGUGAAAUCCCCCGGCUUACCCGGGGAACUGCAUCCCAUACUGCUGGACUUGAGUGCGGGAGAGGAUGGAGGAAUUCCUGGUGUAGCGGUGAAAUGCGUAGAUAUCAGGAGGAACACCUGUGGUGUAGACAGCUUACUGGACCAUCACUGACGCUGAGACACGAAAGCGUGGGUAGCAAACAGG